UAGCAUGGAAUAAUGGAAUAGGACUUUGGUUUUAUUUUGUUGGUUUGAGGACCAGAGUAAUGAUUAAUAGGGAUAGUUGGGGGCAUUAGUAUUGAGAAGCUAGAGGUGAAAUUCGGGGAUUUUCUCAAGACUGACUAUUGCGAAAGCAUUUGCCAAGGAUGUUUUCAUUGAUCAAGAACGAAAGUUAGGGGAUCGAAGACGAUCAGAUACCGUCGUAGUCUUGACCAUAAACUAUGCCGACUAGGGAUCAGUGCACAGCAUUGGCACCUUAUGAGAAAUCAAAGUUUUUGGGUUCUGGGGGGAGUAUGGUCGCAAGAGUGAAACUUAAAGGAAUUGACGGAAGGGCACCACCAGGAGUGGAGCCUGCGGCUUAAUUUGACUCAACACGGGGAAACUCACCAGGUCCAGAUGAAAUAAGGAUUGACAGAUUGAGAGCUCUUUCUUGAUUUUUCUGGUGGUGGUGCAUGGCCGUUCUUAGUUGGUGGAGUGAUUUGUCUGCUUAAUUGCGAUAACGAACGAGACCUUAACCUGCUAAAUAGCCAGGCUAGCUUUGGCUGGUCGCUGGCUUCUUAGAGGGACUAUCGGCUCAAGCCGAUGGAAGUUUGAGGCAAUAACAGGUCUGUGAUGCCCUUAGAUGUUUUGGGCCGCACGCGCGCUACACUGACAGAGCCAACGAGUUCUUACCUUGGCCGAAAGGUCUGGGCAAUCUUGUUAAACUCUGUCGUGCUGGGGAUAGAGCAUUGCAAU
rnacentral:rRNA from 1 species